rnacentral:tRNA from 1 species
CCCCCCUUAGCUCAGUCGGUUAGAGCAGGCGACUCAUAAUCGCUUGGUCACUGGUUCAAGUCCGGUAGGGGGGACCAACU